GACGCCUGGCGCGCGUCUGGUCCAGAACAGCGCGCUCUCCUUGUCGCAAACUCUGCUAGAAACGCGAUUUCCAGUAUCCACCCCAUUCUUGGAUGUGCCCGGCAAGUAUUCAUUGAUCAUCUACUGGAUUCCAAGUAAUGUGUAUGGCAUUGGGAAUAAAGUGGUGAACACGACAGAGCACCUGCAUCUGCCUCCCAUUGUGGCGGGCCUGUUCCCUACUAGCUAGUCUGGUGACUUUGGCCAUAUGUGGUGAUUAAGAAACUCCCAUAUGGCUGGUGUGGCUGUGGAACUGACCUAUUCAUUUUAAAGACAGGAAUAUGGAGAAGGUAAGAGAAUUAUUACAAAGCAAACCAAAAUACAUUACUGGGCCCUAUAUAUUGCUAGGUACAAAGCAUGGACUAGUUAAUAAAAUUGUCUUAAAUAGGUUAGUUUCCAAAAGAUUAUUCCUAAGUUCCUUUGUUCAUAAAUUCAUUUACUGGAAGUCCAAGAUUUCUCAAUACAAGCAGCAUCAGAUAUAUGCAAAAGUAAUUUUCACCUUUACUUCUUUUUCAUUAUCAUGCAGUUUUUUACAACAGGCCCAUAAUCCCUUAUCAACAAUUUCAAAAUCCAAAAAGUUUUGAAAACUGAAAAGUUGCUGGAAGCUUCUGGCGAGCUCACUUAGGCAAACCUGGCCCAUUGUGACAUAAGGCAAUAAUAUUAUUUAUGUAUUCCACUUGAUGUCAGUAUCCACAUUCAGAAAUAUGGAUGUAUUUAUGGAGUUUGAUUAUGACCAUGGGAGUUGCAAGGAACUUUCUAAUGUGAUGGGAAUGUUUUUUGUUGUUUUGAUUGGGAUUUUGGUUUUUGGUUUUUCUGUUUUGUCCUUUCACCUCUCCUUCCCUCCCCUCUCCUCCCCUCCCCUCCCCUUCCCUUCUCUUCUCUUCUCUCUUUUUCAUGCAGGGUCUUGCUGUAUUAUUCCAGCUUGUCUCAAACUCCAGGGCUCAACUGAUCCUCCUGCCUCUUCCUCCCAAACAGUUGGGACUACUGGUGUGUCCCACUGCCCCUGCCUGGUGGAAAUGGUCUCAACCUUGAUUAUGGUGGUGGCUGUACAAGGCCUCGGGCUCAUUGAGAAAAUUAGUAUGGGUUCAUUUUAUUAUAUAUAAAUUACAGCACAUUAAACUUGCUUUUUUAAUUUUUAAAAAAAUACUAAGUUCCCUACAAACAUGCGUUAUGUGAUGGGCUGAAGUUGCUUUUAAAAGAAAAAUAAAAGUUUUAAAAAUAA